rnacentral:rRNA from 1 species
GUGCCAGCCGCCGCGGUAAUACAGAGGUGGCAAGCGUUGUUCGGAAUCACUGGGCAUAAAGGGCGCGUAGGCGGCGAUCCAAGUCAGGUGUGAAAGCCCUCAGCUUAACUGGGGAAUUGCGCCUGAUACUAGAUUGCUUGAGUGUAGGAGAGGAGAGUGGAACUCCUAGUGGAGCGGUGAAAUGCGUAGAGAUUAGGAGGAACGCCGGUGGCGAAAGCGACUCUCUGGCCUACUACUGACGCUGAGGCGCGAAAGCUAGGGGAGCAAACGGGAUUAGAAACCCCAGUAGUCC